AACGAACGCUGGCGGCAUGCCUAACACAUGCAAGUCGAACGAGACCUUCGGGUCUAGUGGCGCACGGGUGCGUAACGCGUGGGAACCUGCCCUUAGGUUCGGAAUAACUCCCCGAAAGGGGUGCUAAUACCGGAUAAUGUCUUCGGACCAAAGAUUUAUCGCCUUUGGAUGGGCCCGCGUUGGAUUAGCUAGUUGGUAGGGUAAAAGCCUACCAAGGCGACGAUCCGUAGCUGGCCUGAGAGGGUGAUCAGCCACACUGGGACUGAGACACGGCCCAGACUCCUACGGGAGGCAGCAGUAGGGAAUCUUCCGCAAUGGGCGAAAGCGUGACGGAGCAAAGCCGCGUGAGUGAUGAAGGUCUUCGGAUCGUAAAACUCUGUUAUUAGGGAAGAACAAAUGUGUAAGUAACUAUGCACGUAUUGACGGUACCUAAUCAGAAAGCAACGGCUAACUACGUG
rnacentral:rRNA from 1 species